AUCGGCCAGCAGGUCCUCGCGCUCGAUCACCUUGGCAAACACCGGGAACUGCUUCUCCUCAUUGAGCAGCGAGAGAAUGAUCCAGCGGUCGUCGGCGCACUUGUAGUGGCAGGUGACAGCAUUCAGUGCGCGGUCGCGUGGCGGACGCUUCUGGAACGUCGCGCCGCACAGCGCUGCCUGCGCAUAGAUACCGUUCGACCAGAUGCCGUUGACCAUCAGGUUCGACAUCACCUGCGUACCCUUGCCGGUGCGCUCGCGCUGAUAAAGCGCGGUGACAAUGCCGGCGAACAGCGACAUCGCGCAGGGAUGAUCGCCCAUGCCGGGCAUCGAGCGGGCGGGCGUCGACUCG
rnacentral:misc_RNA from 1 species